GGAUAGCCCGGCGAAAGUCGGAUUAAUACCCCAUGAAACAGGGGUCCCGCAUGGGAAUAUUUGUUAAAGAUUCAUCGCUGAUAGAUAGGCAUGCGUUCCAUUAGGCAGUUGGCGGGGUAACGGCCCACCAAACCGACGAUGGAUAGGGGUUCUGAGAGGAAGGUCCCCCACAUUGGUACUGAGACACGGACCAAACUCCUACGGGAGGCAGCAGUGAGGAAUAUUGGUCAAUGGCCGAGAGGCUGAACCAGCCAAGUCGCGUGAAGGAAGAAGGAUCUAUGGUUUGUAAACUUCUUUUAUAGGGGAAUAAAGUGGAGGACGUGUCCUUUUUUGUAUGUACCCUAUGAAUAAGCAUCGGCUAACUCCGUGCCAGCAGCCGCGGUAUACGGAGGAUGCGAGCGUUAUCCGGAUUUAUUGGGUUUAAAGGGUGCGUAGGUGGUGAUUUAAGUCAGCGGUGAAAGUUUGUGGCUCAACCAUAAAAUUGCCGUUGAAACUGGGUUACUUGAGUGUGUUUGAGGUAGGCGGAAUGCGUGGUGUAGCGGUGAAAUGCAUAGAUAUCACGCAGAACUCCGAUUGCGAAGGCAGCUUACUAAACCAUAACUGACACUGAAGCACGAAAGCGUGGGGAUCAAACAGGAUUAGAUACCCUGGUAGUCCACGCAGUAAACGAUGAUUACUAGGAGUUUGCGAUACAAUGUAAGCUCCACAGCGAAAGCGUUAAGUAAUCCACCUGGGGAGUACGCCGGCAACGGUGAAACUCAAAGGAAUUGACGGGGGCCCGCACAAGCGGAGGAACAUGUGGUUUAAUUCGAUGAUACGCGAGGAACCUUACCCGGGUUUGAACGUAGUCUGACCGGAGUGGAAACACUUUUCUAGCAAUAGCAGAUUACGAGGUGCUGCAUGGUUGUCGUCAGCUCGUGCCGUGAGGUGUCGGCUUAAGUGCCAUAACGAGCGCAACCCUUAUCACUAGUUACUAACAGGUGAAGCUGAGGACUCUGGUGAGACUGCCAGCGUAAGCUGUGAGGAAGGUGGGGAUGACGUCAAAUCAGCACGGCCCUUACAUCCGGGGCGACACACGUGUUACAAUGGCAUGGACAAAGGGCAGCUACCUGGUGACAGGAUGCUAAUCUCCAAACCAUGUCUCAGUUCGGAUCGGAGUCUGCAACUCGACUCCGUGAAGCUGGAUUCGCUAGUAAUCGCGCAUCAGCCAUGGCGCGGUGAAUACGUUCCCGGGCCUUGUACACACCGCCCGUCAAGCCAUGGGAGCCGGGGGUACCUGAAGUCCGUAACCGCAAGGAUCGGCCUUGGGUAAAACUGGUGACUGGGGCUAAGUCGUAACAAGGUA
rnacentral:rRNA from 1 species